ACACGUAAGGGGCGAGCGUUGUUCGGAAUUAUUGGGCGUAAAGGGCGUGUAGGCGGUUUUGCAAGUCUGGUGUGAAAUACCACAGCUUAACUGUGGGGACGCGCUGGAAACUGUGAGACUAGAGUACAGGAGGGGGACCUGGAAUUCCUGGUGUAGGGGUGAAAUCUGUAGAUAUCAGGAAGAACACCGGUGGCGAAGGCGAGGUCCUGGCCAUGUACUGACGCUGAGGCGCGAAAGCGUGGGGAGCGAACAGGAUUAGAUACCCUGGUAGUCCACGCCGUAAACGAUGUGCACUAGGUUCCUGGGGGUAGCCCUGGGAGCCGUAGCAAACGCGUUAAGUGCACCGCCUGGGGAGUAUGCCCGCAAGGGUGAA
rnacentral:rRNA from 1 species